AACACAUGCAAGUCGAGGGGCAGCGGGAUGUAGCAAUACAUUGCCGGCGACCGGCGGAUGGGUGCGUAACGCGUACUGCGAACCUACCUUAGUACAGGGGAAUAACCUUUCGAAAGGGAGACUAACACCCCGAUGGUAGUUGAUUUAAGGCAUCUUAGAUUAAUUAAAUAUUUAUAGGUAUAAGAUGGGCAUGCGUAUGAUUAGCUAGUUGGUAAGGUAACGGCUUACCAAGGCGACGAUCAUUAGGGGUUCUGAGAGGAAGGUCCCCCACACUGGUACUGAGACACGGACCAGACUCCUACGGGAGGCAGCAGUGAGGAAUAUUGGUCAAUGGGCGCAAGCCUGAACCAGCCAUGCCGCGUGCAAGGAAGACGGCCUUAUGGGUUGUAAACUGCUUUUACAUAAGACUAACCGUAUAUUUGCCGAAUAUACCUGAAUGUAUUAUGAGAAUAAGGAUCGGCUAACUCCGUGCCAGCCGCCGC
rnacentral:rRNA from 1 species